rnacentral:rRNA from 1 species
UGAGCAACCUGCCCUUGGCUUUGGGAUAACCCGUCGGGAAACGGGGGCUAA